rnacentral:rRNA from 1 species
AGCGUAGACGGCAAGGCAAGUCUGAUGUGAAAACCCAGGGCUUAACCCUGGGACUGCAUUGGAAACUGUCUGACUCGAGUGCCGGAGAGGUAAGCGGAAUUCCUAGUGUAGCGGUGAAAUGCGUAGAUAUUAGGAAGAACACCAGUGGCGAAGGCGGCUUACUGGACGGUAACUGACGUUGAGGCUCGAAAGCGUGGGGAGCAAACA